UACGUAGGUGGCAAGCGUUGUCCGGAAUUAUUGGGCGUAAAGCGCGCGCAGGUGGUUCCUUAAGUCUGAUGUGAAAGCCCACGGCUCAACCGUGGAGGGUCAUUGGAAACUGGGGAACUUGAGUGCAGAAGAGGAAAGUGGAAUUCCAAGUGUAGCGGUGAAAUGCGUAGGGAUUUGGAGGAACACCAGUGGCGAAGGCGGCUCUCUGGGACGGUACUGACGCUGAGACGCGAAAGCGUGGGGAGCGAACAGG
rnacentral:rRNA from 1 species